rnacentral:rRNA from 1 species
UACGUAGGGUGCAGGCGUUAAUCGGAAUUACUGGGCGUAAAGCGUGCGCAGGCGGUUUCUUAAGUCAGAUGUGAAAGCCCCGGGCUUAACCUGGGAACUGCGUUUGAAACUGGGAGACUUGAGUGUGGCAGAGGGGGGUGGAAUUCCACGUGUAGCAGUGAAAUGCGUAGAUAUGUGGAGGAACACCGAUGGCGAAGGCAGCCCCCUGGGAUAACACUGACGCUCAUGCACGAAAGCGUGGGGAGCAAACAGG